GCUCGUUGGGUAUUAUCAAGUUAACGGCAAAAUCCCUAAAUCUCGCCAACGAAAAUCGUUAGGUAUUUAUCUUUAAUUGAGCAGAUGUAUGGAUCUCUCUCGUUAGAAACGAGUAAUGUUCUGUAUCGAUUUCUUUCACUGUUUUCUUCAACUUGUUCCUACAGUGUUCUUCGUGAUAAUUUUUACAAUUUAGGUUGCGG
rnacentral:lncRNA from 1 species